GAUGAACGCUGGCGGCGUGCCUAAUACACGCAAGUCGAGCGAACGGACGAGAAGCUUGCUUCUCUGAUGUGAGCGGCGGACGGGUGAGUAACACGUGGAUAACCUACCUAUAAGACUGGGAUAACUUCGGGAAACCGGAGCUAAUACCGGAUGAUAUUUUGAACCGCAGGGUUCAAAAGUUAAAGACGGUCUUGCUGUCACUGAUAGAUGGAUCCGCGCUGCAUUAGCUAGUUGGUAAGGUAACGGCUUACCAAGGCAACGAUGCAUAGCCGACCUGAGAGGGUGAUCGGCCACACUGGAACUGAGACACGGUCCAGACUCCUACGGGAGGCCGCAGUAGGGAAUCUUCCGCAAUGGGCGAAAGCCUGACGGAGCAACGCCGCGUGAGUGAUGAAGGUAUUCGGAUCGUAAAACUCUGUUAUUAGGGAAGAACAUAUGUGUAAGUAACUGUGCACAUCUUGACGGUACCUAAUCAGAAAGCCACGGCUAACUACGUG
rnacentral:rRNA from 1 species